UACAGGGGGUGCAAACGUUGCUCGGAAUCAUUGGGCGUAAAGCGCACGUAGGCGGUUCGUUAUGUCGGAUGUGAAAGCCCUUGGCUUAACCGAGGAAGUGCAUCCGAAACUGGCGAGCUAGAGUACGAAAGAGGAUCGCGGAAUUCCCGGUGUAGUGGUGGAAUGCGUAGAUAUCGGGAGGAACACCAGUGGCGAAGGCGGCUUUCUGGUCUGAUACUGACGCUGAGGCGCGAAAGCGUGGGGAGCGAUCCGG
rnacentral:rRNA from 1 species